ACGCUCGCGGCAGGCUUAACACAUGCAAGUCGAACGCCCCGCAAGGGGAGUGGCAGACGUGGUGAGUAACACGUGGGAACAUGCCCAAAGGUACGGAAUAUCCUCGGGAAACUGGGAGCAAUACCGUAUGUGCCCGAAAGGGGAAAGAUUUAUCGCCUUUGGAUUGGCCCGCGUUGGAUUAGCUAGUUGGUGGGGUAAAAGCCUACCAAGGCGACGAUCCAUAGCUGGUCUGAGAGGACGACCAGCCACACUGGGACUGAGACACGGCCCACGACUCCUACGAGGAGGCAGCACGUGGGGAAUCUUGGACAAUGGGCGCAAGCCUGAUCCCAGCCAUGCCGCGUGAGUGAUGAAGGCCUCUAGGGUUGUAAAACUCCUUUCGUGGGGGACGACGAUAAUGACGGUACCCCAAGAAGAAGCUCCGG
rnacentral:rRNA from 1 species